rnacentral:rRNA from 1 species
GAUGAACGCUGGCGGCGUGCCUAAUACAUGCAAGUCGAGCGAACAGAUAAGGAGCUUGCUCCUUUGACGUUAGCGGCGGACGGGUGAGUAACACGUGGGUAACCUACCUAUAAGACUGGGAUAACUUCGGGAAACCGGAGCUAAUACCGGAUAACAUUUGGAACCGCAUGGUUCUAAAGUGAAAGAUGGUUUUGCUAUCACUUAUAGAUGGACCCGCGCCGUAUUAGCUAGUUGGUAAGGUAACGGCUUACCAAGGCGACGAUACGUAGCCGACCUGAGAGGGUGGUCGGCCACACUGGAACUGAGACACGGUCCAGACUCCUACGGGAGGCAGCAGUAGGGAAUCUUCCGCAAUGGGCGAAAGCCUGACGGAGCAACGCCGCGUGAGUGAUGAAGGGUUUCGGCUCGUAAAACUCUGUUAUUAGGGAAGAACAGAUGUGUAAGGAACUGUGCACGUCUUGACGGUACCUAAUCAGAAAGCCACGGCUAACUACGUG